UACGUAGGGCGCAAGCGUUGCCCGGAAUUAUUGGGCGUAAAGAGCUCGUAGGCGGCUUGUCACGUCGGGUGUGAAAGCCCGGGGCUUAACCCCGGGUCUGCAUUCGAUACGGGCAGGCUAGAGUGUGGUAGGGGAGAUCGGAAUUCCUGGUGUAGCGGUGAAAUGCGCAGAUAUCAGGAGGAACACCGAUGGCGAAGGCAGGUCUCUGGGCCACUACUGACGCUGAGAAGCGAAAGCAUGGGGAGCGAACAGG
rnacentral:rRNA from 1 species